rnacentral:rRNA from 1 species
GAAAGACCAGAAAAGAAAUGAAAAAAAAAAAA